rnacentral:lncRNA from 1 species
GACAUCUGUGUGAAGAAUGAUAACGCCUAUGUAAUAGGGUUGCUGUGAGAAUUAAGCUGCUUUGAAAUUAUCAGUGGAACCCAUUAGUGCAAGACUGCUUUAUCUGGUGGCUAAAAAUGACCAAGACCAAGCUCUGAGGGGCUGGGCUGCAGCAUAUUUGAAUGCUGGGGGGCUCUGCAGAGCGGUCAGAAGCUGAUGCCCCUGACUAGGGAGAUGGUGUGUUCAAGGUGCUAAACCAGAAAGACACCUGGAAGCUGACAUAGAUUUCUACAGCCAAAAAGGGAGGACUCUGCAGCUUUCUCUGGAAGCCAAUUUGUAAAAGGACAGAUUCUUGGAAUGACCACUGCCUGGUUUACCUGCUUACAACAAGCUCGGUUUGAGGAGCAGUCUGAUGACGAUCAGUAGACUUUAGUUCCUCUCUGCAUAUGGCCAACACUUCAGAGCUUCGCCUGGGAAGCCCUCAGGGUUUACUGAUUUCUCGCUGAUCCUUCGUGAAGGUCCUUAAAAGAUGACAGUGCCACUUUCACAAAAAUGUGGAAGCCGACUUCCCCUUGUAAAUACCCAGUGAUUGCCAGCAAGCAGGCCACUGCAACUGGAGGUUUCUGCGGAACACAGUUUGAAAACCCCUGCUUCACCCACCGAAGAUGAGGAAGAUGGUGUUUCCUAUACGCCUUGUGCCACCCUUGGGGCUGAUGGUGAAAACACGACCUCCUUAAUCCUCAUGACCGUCUUCUUAGGAGGGUGUUACUGACCCCAUUUUAGACGUGGGGAAAUUCCUGCUGAGGGACGUCAAGUAAAUUGCCACAAGUCACCCAGCAAGUGAGAAGUGGGACUAUGACUUGCACCCUGUCUUCUGUGGCUCGUGGUAGGCCAUGUGAGGUCUGGAGCGUCUUGGGGGCAACGCUCUCCCCCAUCAGUAAAGUCCUUGUGAAGCAUGUGCAGGGUGGCUGCCAGGAGCACGGCUGACCCCUGCGGGCCUGGGAAUGUCUAGGGAGGAAGAGCAGCUGAGCUCAGAGCUGCGCUAAAGCAGGAGGAAAGUGUAUGAGCUUCAAGAUUCUGCUUAGGUAUCAGCUCUGAGAAGUCUUCCCUAAAACCACAGGCUGGGCCCAGUGCCUCAUUCCGGCCCCAGUGGCUCUCUUAGCAUUUGCCACCUCAUUUUGAAAUUCUCUCUGUUUCUGUCUUCCACUCUGAGCCCCAGCUCCUUGAGAGCAAGGCCAUGACUCAGUCUUCCUGGGACCUCCACCCAGCACCGAGCCCAGGGCUGACAUGAGGAAGGCGCUCACUAAAUGAUAUGGAGCUGAACUGGGCUGAAGCAGGGCUGAGAGGAGCUAACUCACGGGUCCAGAAUGGGAGCACAGAGCUGCCAGAAUUGAGGGCAACCGUGGCUGCCCCAGCGAGGCGUCCAGCAGGGGCUCCAGCAGGCCCGAGGGUGAGCCAGGGAAGGCGAGGGGCAAGUGGCGGCUCUGUGUCAUGGGUCCUGGGGAACCAGUGUGCACACUGGGAGUGUUUAAAAUCCACACCCAUGUACCUGUAGUGAGUCAGACUGAGCCUCCUGGAGGCCCCUCCCGAUAAUGAAAGAGUCACCUGGGGCGCCCUGGUUCAUGAAAUCACAGAGGCCCCUGACUUAAAACUGCUUCUAAUAAAAUGCUACCAGGGUUUUCAGCUCUUGAAUGCCAAUAAAAGGGCGUCUGUGCUGCAAAAUGCACACCUGGUGUUUGAUAUCCCGUCUCUGGCUGCCUGUUAACCAGCCAGAGCCAGGCAGCGCAUCCCGACAUUGACAGGUGCAAAGACUUAUAGAAAGUGCCGCCUCCCAAGGCUUAUGAUCUGAUUACAGGGAGAAGACAAUGGACAGAACAGGAAUAGAGGAUUGGAUUCAGUUCCUUCUUCCUUCCCCUCUCUCUCACCUUUCUAUUGCUUUCUUCCCUAGAUGCCUUCCUAACUUCCUUGCUUUCCUCCUCCUACCUGUCCUCCUUCUUUUCUCAUCUCGGGUACAAAUUUUCUGUGUAGUCAUUCUCCUCAUUUCAUAGCAUACCAUCUUCACGAGUCCCUGAGUUUUUAUUGUGUUGUAUUAUAUUUAUAAUAUAUUUUGUAUGUCUUCCCUCCCCCAGAAGGGACCUAUUCUAAUGUGCUUAAUAUAUUUUCUUAGGUAACGAUGAUCCCUGAAAAAUAUUUAGGAUUAUUCUACACGUCAAGUGGUGUUAUAGGAAGUUUUCAAGAGUCAUCCAUGUGGUUCAUUCCUUUUGUUGCUGAGCAGUAUUGCAUAGAAUGAGUAAACCUACCACUAGGGCACUUCUGUCCUCCAAGAUCUGCCCCAUGGAAAGCAAUGACUAGCCCACGGGUGGCAGCCAAGAGAGAGGACAAAAAAAUGUUCAGGCGUCUCCCGGUCCUUCCACCUGUUGUUACUCGUUCACCCCUUCCCAAACCAGGCUCAAGGACUUCCCUAACUUUAUCCUCUCACCUUUGACUAGCUCUGAGCUGCUGCUGCUAUUUUUCUCACUCCCAUCUCCCCAUAAAAGUGUGAGUACCGUUGGAGAAAGAAAGGGGACAGGAGGAUAUAACUUGAAAGCUUUCCUGUAACCCAUUCCCCAAUACCAAGUGCUCUCCCACCCUAGGGUUCCCACUGCACCUGGGGCACUCUAUUUCUGUUUUCCCAAAGGUUACUUACAAUUUUUGCACUAGAGUCUGGGCAUCAUUGGCUAUCUUCUGGCUUCUGGUAUAGAGUUCCAGGGAGACAGCCAGCACAUCCACAGUGGAUGUGCCCGUCCACAAUCAUUGAAGUGAGUGAAUUUCAGAUUAAUUUUUAGCCUAGAAUCUUUUUGUUUGAAUAAAACCUGGAUUUGGAUUAUAAAUAUACAAAACAGUCAAUGGCCGCUCUGCUGGAAGUCAAGGUGGGGCUGGGUCUCUGAGUGCUGCCCCAGCGGCAGAGUUUAGAAAAGUCGAGAAAGGAAGAGGAGGCCACCCAGGCUCAGUGAGUACUGAAGUAAAAGGUGCGAGGACAGAGAGGUGUGUGAUGUGGUCAGGACGAGCAGGCCAGUUUGGCAGAACGAGGGUAAGUGAUGAAGUUGGAAAGCUGGGUUGGGGUUGGUUCAUGGGGACUUUAAUGACAACGUAGGAAUGCUGGACAGUCAGAGCAAGAAUAGAACUUACAGCUUAGCUAGUCCAGCCUGCUCUUUUACAGUUAAGGAAAGAGGCCAGGGACUGUGAGGGGCUUGCCCGGUGUCACAGUGACUUAGUGGCAGACCUGAGACUAGAAUUCUGUUCUGUUGACACUCAGACUAGUACUCAGUGAUGAUAGCAAGGUCUUCUCAUGGCAGUGCAGACUGGAAGAGGCAAAUUUUUCUGAAAUUUCUGUAUGUAGAGGAAGGAAUAUGAAAUGGUGAGAUCACGGGAAAAUGACAUCCCAUUUGGGCCUUUGCAAUCCAAUGUGUAGGAGGGGCUCCUCAGAUAAAGUAGAUUCAGCUAUUGCCUUUCCAAUAAUUCUCACACAGACUUCAAGAGGGAACAAUCAACCUGGUCACUUCCCUAUGCAGACUGCUUCCUGCCUCAAAAACAGGUGAAUAUCCAGCCUGGAAAGCACUUCAGCCUUGAAAUAUGCAAACACCCACUCAAUCUCUGGUCUCUGUUUCUCAAUGUCAGAUUUAGUUGAUUGUGCAAAGCACACAAACCUUCCACCAUUUUGAUAAUCAAUAAAUUGCUCUGGUAGAACACUUGCAAGGGGUUCUCUUGCUCUGUGUCUCUACUCUCUGACCAUUGAUUUUUUAGGUCAUAAAGAGGGAGGGAAACAGAGAAAGAGCUUAAGAAAUUAUUUUUCAUUCUCAAACUGGGAGCCAAGUAAUUUAUCCUAUUAAUUGUUCUGGAACAUUUCAUUCUGCCCUUUCUCUUCCAACACAACAACCUCUUGUCACAAAUCACUCAUUGUGAUUACACGCCAAAUUCCCAGCUUGGCCAUUAGUGUCAAAUAAUAGACUAUCAAUAGACUUAUAUUAAUUGCACAUUUAUGGGAUAGGCCAAGAAUCCUGACUGGGUCUCUGCAGGUCUGCUGUAGAAAUGAGUCUGGAGAUGGAACGGACUGUCUCUUGACUCGGAGCCAGAUAUCUGAUGGAUGACUUUAGCAGACAGUCAGCUUCUAAUCUUUGCUAGCAAAUGCAUCUCCACUAUCUACCCAUUGAUCUGAUAGCAAUGUUGAAAAAAGAACUCUCCUAAACUCAAAGUUUGAACAUUGGCUUUUUCAAAUCUUUGGACUGAUUGGAGAAAUAAAAAUGAAAUUUAUUUUGAAAGCAGCAAGUAUGAAUGGUCUGUGUGUGUACAUGUGUACUAGGUUUAUUAGAUUAAGAGAAGCAAGCAUAAACACACUUUGUUAAGAUACGCUAAUAUAUGCCCUCACCACCCACAACACACUUUUCCCCCAGUAUGAAACAUGAAAUAUAGUGUAAAUCACUCUGGAAAUGUGUGGUGGAAGGAAAAUGUACACUUAAAUGAAGAUAAUCAACACAUACUGAGUUCUAUUUUUCUAAAUGCUUGUGAAUCUUUUGCAUUUCUUCCAUAUAAUUCAGUAUCAGAGUUAAUGACAUAUCCUAGUUUCCUUUGGUACAGAAGCACCUCAAUUGCUGAAAAGUUUUGCUCCCUUCAAGACUGCUUAUCUGCUGCAAUAAUUACCAAUAAACCUCUCUGCACGAGAAAUAGCAGGGCUGAACGACUCUGUGAUGAAUAAAGAGAGUAGUCGGCUCCUCUUCAUUCAUCUUGAUAAUCUUCCUUGCUACGUAAACAGUAAGACACAUUGUCAAGAUUCAUGUUCAGGUCAAUUCUCAGCUCAACAUUGAUUGCAGAGAAAUUCUACCCAAUACACUGUUUUAUUAGAGCUGAAAGGCAACAACAGGAAAAUGGCAAAAGACCAUGGUAGUCUGAACUUGUAAGUGAAUGUGUGUGUGGGUGAGAGAGAGGAAUGGAAAGAAAGAGCAAUGGAUGUCUGUGGGAGCAGACAUAUCCAGCGGUGUGUCCAAUAAACACUCUUCUGAGAUUGGUCAACCCACUCGCUUUCAAUUGUGCUCCUCAGAAUCCGUGCUAACCUGAGGUAACAGACUCCGGGCAUAAAGAACAAUUCCAGAGCUAUGUUUCAAGGACUUCCUAUUUUAACAUCCUAAAACUUAACAAGUAUUAAAUCAACGUGACUACUGUAAGGCUACUGAAGGGCUGGGGUUAGGUAGUGACUCUAAAAAUAUCCGAGAAUUGAUAGGAUCAUAUUCCCAAACAAGUCCGGACUUCUCUCAGCUACGCCCAGUGAGAAGAAAAUCCUCAGUGUAGGAAAAUAAUUCACAGGCAGGCCCCUGGGAGACCCUGUGAUGGCUGAAACGUUUCCCUCCGGGGAUAGAUGUAAUGUGUUAAUGCUAGAGAACCAACCAGAACGGAUGAGAUCUGCCCGUCUGGUCCAAGCCCAGAGGAAACCAGACACUUCCCAAGGCUUCUUUCCCCUUAGGAUUGCAUCAGUCUCACUGUAUGGGCUUAUUUUUAAACAUUGGUUGAAAAUGCAAUAGCCCAGCUGUUCAACGUCACAACAGAAGGUCAAUUUUAUACAGUUGUUCUUCCUUGAAGAGCUUAAGUUAAGUGACCCAAAAGGCCAAUUUUUCCAACUAAUGAAGGAACUUGUUCCUGGAAAGUUGCCAUUUUGCUGUGAAACUUAUGUUUCCUCGUUUUACUAAUGCAAACGUUGAACUUUGGAAAUGUUAGUGUAUUUAAUUUUCAUAGUUUUGGGGCUUGGAUUACUAGGUAUAAGCACGUCUUUAUUAUUGUUAACAAUGAACUGAACCUGGAUAAUCCGCUGAUAAUUCCCAAAUUGCACAGAGCCCAAAUCUAGCCAACCAAAAUUCUUUUAAACAUGGUUUAAAAUCUCUUAAAAAUGGUCAGAAAUAGCAUCUCCCCUGUGAAACAGUCAAAAGAGUGGCCAUUGCAGAAUAGGACGGUGAAGAACGGAGAGACCCAACACAGAGCCGGGAGCCAGAUGCCCCUGGGUUCAAAUGCAAGCUCUGCCACUUCUUGGUUUAGCUGAGUGACCUUGCCUCAGUCUUCUGCUCUUUCAAACAGGGACGGAACUUACUCCGUAGGAUUGUUGUGAAAACUAGGUGAGUUCACGCGUAUAAAGUUUCUUAGAAAAGUGCGGCACGGUGUCUGCAGUCAGCUCAUCACAAAGUGACAGGCGCUCUUUUCGUGUUUGUUGAUCCUCACCACACUCCUGAGGGACUCACCGAGGGUGACAGCACGAGAAAGGCAGAGCACCAGUGUUUGCGGGUCGGCUCUCCUGCGCAGUCUCUGUCUAUAGCAGAUCUUUCAGUAGAAGAUCUCUUAAAUGACCUUCACUUAACUAACUUUCCAGAUCCAUCGACCCUGUAUUUACGCCGUCCGUGGGCGUGUUGAAUCCUUGCAGCUAGCAGACUGCUGCAAUACACAGACACACUUCUGCCCUCACCAGUUGAUGUGUGUGCUCACCAACAGUUGGUUGAGUUUGUUCCCAAACCUGUUUAUGACACUUGUACAUAUUAUAAUAAUUACAUAAUUUAAUUAUACACUAUGCAACCCAAUAAAAUAUUAGUGUG